UGUGUGAAGAAGGCCUUCGGGUUGUAAAGCACUUUCGGACGGAACGAAAUCGCGCGAUCUAAUAAGUCGCGUGGAUGACGGUACCGUAAGAAGAAGCACCGGCUAACUACGUGCCAGCAGCCGCGGUAAUACGUAGGGUGCGAGCGUUAAUCGGAAUUACUGGGCGUAAAGUGUGCGCAGGUGGCUGAGCAAGUCGAGUGUGAAAUCCCCGGGCUUAACUUGGGAAUUGCGCUCGAAACUACUUGGCUCGAGUGUGGCAGAGGAAGGUGGAAUUCCAGGUGUAGCGGUGAAAUGCGUAGAGAUCUGGAGGAGCACCGAUGGCGAAGGCAGCCUUCUGGGCCAACACUGACGCUCAUGCACGAAAGCGUGGGGAGCAAACAGGAUUAGAUACCCUGGUAGUCCACGCCCUAAACGAUGAUGACUAGUUGUUGGGGGAGUUAAAUCCCUUAGUAACGCAGCUAACGCGUGAAGUCAUCCGCCUGGGGAGUACGGUCGCAAGAUUA
rnacentral:rRNA from 1 species